rnacentral:rRNA from 1 species
CAGCAGCCGCGGUAAUACGUAGGGUGCAAGCGUUAAUCGGAAUUACUGGGCGUAAAGCGUGCGCAGGCGGUUAUAUAAGACAGAUGUGAAAUCCCCGGGCUCAACCUGGGAACUGCAUUUGUGACUGUAUAGCUAGAGUACGGCAGAGGGGGAUGGAAUUCCGCGUGUAGCAGUGAAAUGCGUAGAUAUGCGGAGGAACACCGAUGGCGAAGGCAAUCCCCUGGGCCUGUACUGACGCUCAUGCACGAAAGCGUGGGGAGUAAACAGGAUUAGAUACCCCGGUAGUCCCUGUCUCUUAUAC